CGAAAUAGAAAGGAGAAUUUCUUUUCCUAAGUGUGAAGCUUUGCAGGCUCUACAUGCAGCCUGUAGUGUAGCCCUGCAUCAUUAACGGGGGUGGGCGGGGGCGGAGAGAAUGAAAGCAAAAGAGCAUGCUGGCUGCCCCCUGGAAAACGGAAAUGUUCAGUGUACACAGAGAGUGGCUUGCAUAUUUCACUCUGACAUCUUACUACUAUGCUUUUCAACAUGAUAGUGGUUAGAUAUUCCUGAUAAUUUUAAUUUUUUUUCCUUUUGCUUUCAUAAUUUUUCUUUUGGCUUUCUUUUAUUUUGUAUUAUUUUUACUUUUAUUUAUUUUCUUCCCUCCCUCCUUCUCUCCUGUAUUCAUUCCUUCCUUCCUUCCUUCUUCCUUCCUUCCCUCCUUCCUCUCCUUUCCUUUUCUUUCUUUCUUUUUCUUUCUUUCUUUCUCUUUCUUUCUUUUUCUUUCUUUCUUUCUCUCUCUCUCUCUUUCUUUCUUUCUUUCUUUCUUUCUUUCUUUCUUUCUUUCUUUCUUUCUUUCUUUCUUUUUUUUCUCCUUUUGCUAGUGAAGGAGAAUUGGAUUGGUUAUUUUCAGAACAGGCAGCCUAAAUUGAUGCACAAAUCAGUAGCAUCCUUUUUGGAGUGGCCAUCACAUGAAUUCUUUGGAGAUCUCUGAAGAAAACAGAAAGAAACUGAAAUGGCAUGAAUGAAUUAAUCGUGCCAGAUUCUCCAACACUUCCUCAGGAGACCCUAUUGCUCUGAUCAAGAAGUUCCAUCAGCACCGAAGAAAACAGCAGUCCCGGAUAACCACCAUCAACUUUCCGUUUCCAUGAAUUUGAU
rnacentral:lncRNA from 1 species